AAUAACAGAAAACCACGAGUUGAGAUCUUAAAAAUAGCUCUGAUAGAAACAUAAGACACACAGUAAUCAUGACAGCACAGACGAGAGACCUAAAUCUGCAGCACACUGUGAUGUUUGAAGUUGCAUGUGACUGGAUCCUUUUCAAGGCUCUGUCACAAGAAGUGCAUGAUCAGCACUUCAUACAGAUGAGGGUCAGCCCCUGUCUGCCAUCUGGAUUACAGCGUCUCCCAGACUCUGAUGACACCAUCACGCCCAGUCAACUCAAAUUAAAACACACGCCUCACACACGUACAUAAACUUGGCCUUACACUGCUCAAAUAGUUUAACAGAAGCACCAGCGAGGAGUGGCAGUCAUUGCUUGUCCACAGACCAGACUAUAGGGGGAUAUUUCUUACUUGAUGUCAGUUGUUUGUGUGCUAAACGCUGUGUCCUGAUGGCACAGACAUCUAAAAUAAAUGGUUUAACUGGA